rnacentral:rRNA from 1 species
UACGGAGGGUGCGAGCGUUGUCCGGAAUCACUGGGCGUAAAGGGCGCGUAGGCGGCCUGAUAAGUAGGGGGUGAAAUCUUGCGGCUUAACCGCAAGGCUGCCUUCUAAACUGUCAGGCUCGAGCACAGUAGAGGCAGGUGGAAUUCCCGGUGUAGCGGUGGAAUGCGUAGAGAUCGGGAAGAACAUCAGUGGCGAAGGCGGCCUGCUGGCUGUUGCUGACGCUGAGGCGCGACAGCGUGGGGAGCAAACAGG